rnacentral:lncRNA from 1 species
GGGAUUUGGAUCCUGCCAGCUCGUCCCUGCAACCCCCUACUCCGGUCCCCUCAAACCUGUCCGUGGCUGGCAGCCCUGUGAUACCUCGCCACAUUCUGCAACAGAAUCCGAGAUAGAGGUAGAAGUGGGGGAGUACGUCGUGGCUGUCAGGGCAGCUUUCUGUAAAAUGCUGCCUGGAGGAGCAUGUGAUUCCAGACCCUCCUCUCUGCAACGAAAGUGAGGUUGACACCUGCAGGUAUGAUUGUAACACGACUUUUAGUUCAGGUGAGCGCAGCCUUCCUCUCCUGGAGCUCUGGCUCAUCCAGCCCUGAGCUCCCCAGUCCAAGGCUCUCCGGGUACCUUGGGCAGCCUCCCUAGCAGGGCGGUGGGAUCGGACCAGCUGUUCCCGGCUGCUGGUCCGUUCCAAGCUGCAAGGGCCUAGGUGCGGAGCAAUGACCGGCAGGCCGAGCUCCCUCCCUCCCUCUCGUUGCAGGCCUGGGGCCUCCUGGCCCACUGAGCAGAACACACAGAAGCUGGGCCCACCCCUGCCCUCCCCACAAAGGGUCACGGGAGCCACCGCCUGACUUUGAAGCCCACUGACUUGCGGCUGACAAGAGAAAAGGCACUGAGGGCUCGCCACAACCCCCUGUGUAUUUAUCUUACAGAAUGUGCCCCUGUGAUCAUGUGAAAGCAUCAGCCAGGGGUCCAAGAACUUCCCUCUGGAGCCUCACACUCCCAGCGUGGCACCCAGCAGGGAACAGAUUCUCUCCAAACCUUUGUGAAUGAAUGAAGGAUGACGUCACUAGAAUCCAUCCCUGUUUUAUUUUUUAUUUUUAUUUUUUGAGACAGAGUCUCGCUCUGUUGUUGCCCAGGCUGGAGUGCGGUGGCACAAUCUCAGCUCACUACAACCUCCGCCUCCCCGGUUCAAGUGAUUCUCCUGCCUCAACCUCCUGAGUAGCUGGGAUUACAGGCACCCAUCACCACGCCUGGCUAAUUUUUGUGUGUGUUUAGUACAGACGGGGUUUCACCACGUUGGCCAGACUGGUCUUGAACUCCUGACCUCAGGUGAUCCGCCUGCCUCGGCCUCCCAAAGUGUUGGGAUUACAGGCGUGAGCCACCACGCCCAUGCCCAUCCCCAUUUUAUAGACAAGGAUACCAAGGCUCAGAGAGGGGAAGCCACUUGCCAAGGACGCACAGGAGGACACCAGUGAGCAGGACCUCUGGUCUGUCUGGGAGGCCACUGGGCCUCUUCCCAGAGUCUCUGCUUGGUGAGCCAGGAUUUUACACCCGCCUUGGGCCCAGUGGGCUGAGAGGACAUGGGCUGGGGUGUCGGAAGCUGCAGAGCUGAUCCCUCCUGCUUGGCUGGAGGCUUGCAGACCCGGCAGGCAGGCUCGGGAGGCAGCGGGCGACUUGAAAAUGCACUCCCUACCACAGGCUCAAGAGUGACGGCGCCUGUCAGGGACCGGGAGGCAGGGCCUGUCUUUUCCUGCUGUUUUAUUGCCUUCAAAGUCUGGACCAAGUGGUUUCUGGAUGGAGUCACGGUAACCUCACGUCUAUUCAAGCAAUUCGUUCAUUGUUUCAUUUAGUAAAAUACCCACAAAACAAGGAAGAACACCUUGGCGGUGCCUCUGAUCCCCCCAUUUGUCUGCAAAUCGGAAAAGCAUGAUUCCAUCGAUCUCCUGUUUAUUGAGCGCCUACUACAUGCUAGGUCGGAUGGUCUAGUUCAACCCCUCGCAACGCCACAGCUGCUGUCUGUUUCGUAUCUUGUAUUUUUCGCUUGACAGUUUAUCAUGUGCAUUUUCUCGGGUACCAAAGGCCCUUGUAAGAGAUGGUGUCUGGAGAAUGGGUAUCUCAGGGGCCUACCACCUGGCUUACCUCCUCCCAAAUCAGGGUUCCUCUGCACCACCUCCUCUCUGUCCAGCUCCUCCUUCAGGGCCUGGCUCAAUUCUACCUCCUCCACAAAGCCCUCCAUUCCCUCCCCUCCUGGUCAGUGUUGUCUCUUUUGCAGCCACUAGCUCUCUGCCUUGCCUCACCCGGGUCUCCUAUCCCUCUCCUUCUCUCUCAUGGAGUGAUGCCUUUUUUCUUCCUCUACACACAUCAGGUCUGAGCUCAAAGUCACCUUGUCAAAGGCCCUCCCAGGACCACCCUGUGUGAUUAUCCUGUGGGCUUGUUCCUGUGUUUGUCCCUGAGCCCACAGGGUCUGGUGGUUCAGUAGAAGGACUCCUGCAGAAGGUGCUGGAUAAACACUGGAAGAUCUAGAAAUAAAAAUAAAAGAAAGACUGGGC